rnacentral:rRNA from 1 species
UGCAUGCAGUCGAACGGGCGGAGGGGCUUCGGCCCCCGAGCUAGUGGCAGACGGCUGAGUAACACGUAAGUGAUCUGCCCCGGAGAGGGGGAUAACCCGGAGAAGUCCGGCCUAAUACCCCGUACGCUCCCUUUACUGCGGUUUAGAGAGGAAAGUUCCGGCGCUCUGGGAGGAGCUUGCGGCCUAUCAUGGUAGUUGGUGGGGUAAAAGCCUACCAAGCCGAAGACGGGUAACCGGUGUGAGAGCACGAUCUGUCAGAGGGGGACUGAGACACGGCCCCCACUCCUACGGGAGGCAGCAGCAGGGAAUCUUGCGCAAUGGGCGAAAGCCUGACGCAGCGACACCGCGUGGGGGAUGAAGGCUUUCGAGUUGUAAACCCCUUUUCCCGGGGAUGAGAAAGGACAGUACCCGGGGAAUAAGGUUCGGCUAACUACGUGCCAGCAGCCGCGGUAAUACGUAGGAACCGAGCGUUGUCCGGAUUUACUGGGCGUAAAGUGCGCGUAGGCGGUCUGUUAAGUCUCAUGUGAAAUCUCCCGGCUCAACUGGGAGGGGUCAUGGGAUACUGGCAGACUUGAGUGCAGCAGAGGGGAGUGGAAUUCCCGGAGUAGUGGUGGAAUGCGUAGAUACCGGGAGGAACACCAGAGGCGAAGGCGACUCCCUGGGCUGUGUCUGACGCUGGGGCGCGAAAGCGUGGGUAGCAAACCGGAUUAGAUACCCGGGUAGUCCACGCCCUAAACGAUGGAUACUAGGUAUGGGGGGGUAUCGACCCCCUCCGUGCCGCAGCUAACGCAAUAAGUAUCCCGCCUGAGGAGUACGGCCGCAAGGCUAAA